UACGUAGGGUGCAAGCGUUGUCCGGAAUUAUUGGGCGUAAAGAGCUCGUAGGCGGUUUGUUGCGUCGGCUGUGAAAUCCCGAGGCUCAACCUCGGGUCUGCAGUCGAUACGAGCAAACUAGAGUGUUGCAGGGGAGACUGGAAUUCCUGGUGUAGCGGUGAAAUGCGCAGAUAUCAGGAGGAACACCGGUGGCGAAGACGGGUCUCUGGGCAACAACUGACGCUGAGGAGCGAAAGCGUGGGGAGCGAACAGG
rnacentral:rRNA from 1 species